GCGAAAGUAACGAUAGACCGAUAGACCGAGGCCAUAGAAAAACCUGUCGGUCUAUACAUAAACGUUAGCACAGUAGACCUGAUGUCUAAGCAAUUUAAUUGCUUAUUAAUGUCUAAAACGUAUUUUAAAUGUUAUAAAUAAAUAACAUCAAUUGCAUUUCUCUUAAGUGUUGUUCGUUUUCAUGCUUUGUUUGGCAGAAUUUGUCCGAUCAAGUUCUGUAGACAUGUAUACGCUACCGUUUCAAACGUCCGGUUGAUUGAGGGGAGAUCACUCUCAGUCAAGCGCUCCGUUGAUACUGAUUGCGAUACAAUAUGGCGAACUUCUUACGCUAUUAUGAGGGGGCUAAACCUAACCAAAAGAGAAAAUGGGCAAUACCUUCAUCAGAAGAUACGACGAAACAAAAACGCAAGGCAUAUGAAGACAUAAGGGAACGGGCGUUCAUGCCUCACUGGCAGGUAGGAAGGUCAUGGCUAAAAUUUGACUCUACUAAAAUGUGGUGCGAGACCUGCAAGGUGUUUGGAAAAAACAAGUCCAACAUACAGUCACAGAUGUGGUUUGAAGGAACGUCAAACUUCAAAAUAGACACCAUCAAAGCCCAUGAAAAAAGUACGCUACACAUUGAAUCCGCCAAGGCACAAACAAAUAUCAUAGAUAACCCUGCUAAGUCGGAAGGUGUGUCGGCCAUACGACUGCUGAAUGCUUCAAAUUUACGAAAUUUACGAUACAUGUUUCGUAAUGCUCAUGUAGUGGCAAAGCAUGACUGGUCAUUCAAAGAUUAUGUUGUUCUGUGCGAACUGGACAAGGCUAAAGAGUUGGACACAGGGGUCACUUAUCAAAAUGACAAGUCUUGUCGAGAGUUUAUUCACCACAUUGCCAUGGUUGAAUCUGAAAAUACCAGCUCAAUGCUUUCGGAAGCUCAGUACUUUUCAAUCACUAUAGACGGGGCUACAGAUGUAUCUGGGACAGAACAGGAGUCCAUAUAUGUACAUUAUGCACACAAAGGUGAGAGACAUCAAAGAUUUAUUAGAUUUGUGUCACCUGAGUCGACAACAUCAGAACACAUACACGAUGCUGUGUUAGACACCCUGAAAAAGAAUAAUAUUGAUGUAAAGAAGAUAGUUGGUACUACAACAGAUGGAGCAUCAAAUAUGAUGGGGGCAAAGAAAGGAUUUACAACACUUAUGAAGCAAUCAUCUCCAGAUCUUGUUUCUAUUCACUGUUUGGCUCACCGGCUAGAGCUUGCCGUCAAAGAUUCAAUAAAAGGAAACAUAACAGUAAAAAAAAGUUAUGAUAGAUUGAUGACUCUUCUCAUAGGACUUUACUACUUCUACAAGAAAAGUCCAAAGCAGAGGAAACUCCUUCAAAAAACUUUUGAAAUUCUGAAAGUUCCUACUGUCUUUCCUACACGUGCAGGUGGUACUCGUUGGAUACCUCACACACUGAAAGCAAUUUCUGUACUCAUGAAAAGUUAUGAGGCCAUAACAACUCAGCUUCAGGAUGCAUCACAUUCCGUCCCAAAGGCUGAGGGAUUGGUAAAGCUUGCCACAGAUGUAAACCUCUUUGCGUUCAUGAUGGUGAUGCAGGAUGUCUUAGAACCUGUCAACACCUUAUCCAUGCAUCUUCAGAGUGAGAACCCUACCAUAGCAGAUGCUUUCUUCAUGAUGGAAACAGCAAAGGAACUGAUACAAAGCUAUGGGAAUGACCUUCGGAAACCAUGAGGUGAAGUAUCUCCAGAGUCACUUCGCAGGUCGCUUUGAUGACGACGUGAACAUGCUGCCACAAUGGAGGAGACUCAAAACUCUUGUUUACCAGCGAUAUGGUACAACAGUUGAGGCUCUGGAUUGGGUAAUUGUUAACAGAGCUUUGAAGAACCAGGAGGUGGAUGAUAUCUUGUCAUUGAUUGACCUUAUCCUCAGCCUCCCCCCAACCU